UACGAAAGGUGCAAGCGUUACUCGGAAUCACUGGGCGUAAAGCGCACGUAGGCGGACUUACAGGUCAAUUGUGAAAUACCUGGGCUCAACCCGGGAACUGCAGUUGAAACCGUUUGUCUUGAAUAUCUGAGAGGGUGGGGGAAUACCUGGUGGAGAAGUGAAAUUCGUAGAGAUCAGGUGGAACACCGGAGGCGAAGGCGGAUCUCUGGGCCAUUACUGACGCUGAGGAGCGAAAGCGUGGGGAGCGAACAGG
rnacentral:rRNA from 1 species